UGUUGUCGGUAGUGUAGUGGACUACCGAGGUUUUUACGGGUGACGGGGGAUCAGGGUUCGAUUCCGGAGAGGGAGCCUGAGAAACGGCUACCACAUCCAAGGAAGGCAGCAGGCGCGCAAAUUACCCAAUCCAGACAAUGGGAGGUGGUGACGAAAAGUACCAGAUGACGGCCAAAGGUUGUCAAUCUGGAAUGGAAUCAAUUUAAGCAAUUGAUUGAGGAACGACUUGAGGGCAAGUCUGGUGCCAGCAGCCGCGGUAAUUCCAGCUCAAGUAGCGUAUCCCAAAGUUGCUGCGCUUAAAACGCUCGUAGUUGGAUCACAAACUAUAUGCGAGUUGGCGUGGUACUGUUCCAAAUGUAAGGAUUCAACGGAAUGUCCUCAUUUCGCGGAUGAUUUAUGUGGUGCAGUUUCAUUGCCGUAGGCUUGUGUGUAGUAAUUGCACGUGAGGAUAGACAUUCGCCUUGAAUGAGUAGAUGUCUGUGUCUCACGGAGUGUGCCUUGAAUAAAUCAAAGUGCUUAAAGCAGGCUAUACGCUUGAAUGUUAAAGCAUGGAACGAACAAUCGUGUAGGGUGCAUGAUGAUUUAUGGGUGCAGGGCCUAGCCAGGCAUUCAUCAUCAUGUGACACCGACCACCAAUAACGGAUGUUGGUUCCGUAUUGGGGUAUUGAUUAAGAGGAGCGGUUGGGGGCAUUGGUAUUUGGCAGCGAGAGGUGAAAUUCUUGGACCUGCCAAGGACUAACAAAUGCGAAGGCAUCUGUCCAGACCGUAUCCAUUAAUCAAGAACGAUAGUGAGAGGUUCGAAGACGAUCAGAUACCGUCCUAGUUCUCACUGUAAACCAUGCCGACCAUGCC
rnacentral:rRNA from 1 species